CCGAGUUUACAACUCCCAAACCCAAUGUGAACGUUACCAAACUGUUGCCUCGGCGGGGUCACGCCCCGGGUGCGUAAAAGCCCCGGAACCAGGCGCCCGCCGGAGGAACCAACCAAACUCUUUCUGUAGUCCCCUCGCGGACGUAUUUCUUACAGCUCUGAGCAAAAAUUCAAAGUGAAUCA
rnacentral:misc_RNA from 1 species